UUAGUGUGAAAAUUGACUGUACUCUAGCUAUUUGAAAUCAAUUAUCAAACUACAAAACACCAAGGCUUACUACUUUUGUCUUAAUUCAACACAUAAUCCAUUCUAUGACUAUCAAUUCAACAAUACUUCCAUAUUCUUAUCAGUUCAUCUCCCACUUACUCUCUUUGUGGUUUAUAUAUAUUCAAUUACUGAUCUCAAGCUUACUUAUUAUAUUCUAUUU
rnacentral:lncRNA from 1 species